AGAAAUAAUUCUUGAAAUGGUUCCUAUUAAAAAUAGUAUAGCUGAUAUUAGAGAUCGACUUCCUUCUCAAAAUGAAAAGAUGCGGAGUGAUAUUAUAGCAGCACUGUAGAAUGUAAUGGAAGAGCUGUCUUGUAUAAAACGACAAAUAAAUCAAUUUGAUAUGAGAAGCGAGUCAGAUUAUAAGGCUAUUAAAAAAAAUCUUAAAGAGAUGAGAAAACAGGAAGAUAUUAAAAAGAUAAGGAAUAACGAAGAUCUUAAACAUAUUA
rnacentral:lncRNA from 1 species